rnacentral:lncRNA from 1 species
UCGCCACUUAGCCAAAAUCGAGUGACAGGGGUGGGCCCGGUUGAGCCCCUCCAUCCUUUAUUGCGCCUUCUUCCCCAAAUUCCUGAGGUAAAAAAUAAACCAAGGGGUGUCUGCUUGCCCGAUCCAUCCUCAAGCUGGGCAAACAAAGGAAACGGCCUCGAGGCCUCUAACUUUAACAGCCAGUAUCCCGAGCACGUACGUGCUGGCUACGUAACAAGACUCUCCCAGGUCGCUAGGCCUCUAGGCCGCAAGGCCUCUAUUCCCUUCCCCCACUUCACGGUGGAGCAGGGGCAGUGAAGGUGGGGGAAGGGCGGCACAGAGCUGAGCGGAAGGGAGAAUCGCGCAUGAGCGUUCCUUGGCUAGGCGGAGGCGCGGCUCUGCUGAAAGCGGCCCCAGUGUGCGAGCCCACGCUUUAGAAUAUAGGCUUGAAGAGGUAGGGAAGGAGCUGGCGCGCGCUGGGCUGUAGACGCGGAGGUGGGGCCAGACGGGCGCGCGCUUGGGGGCCGGUUCUCGCGAGAGUGGAAUCGCUCUUUUGCUACUCCUGCUGUCCGCCCGUCGCCACACCGCCGUUGCUGCGGGGGAUUGUGGGAGGUUUCGCGUCCCGCUCGAAGAGAGGUGUCGUCGUUCUUCCUCCUCCUCCCCUUCCCUGAGGUAGCAGUGAAACGGAGUUGUCUGCUGGUUCUCAGCUUGAAGAAGAAUCUACAGUCCUUAUUGAUCCUUUUUUCUUGGCGUUACCAUUUUUGAAGCAAAGUUAACUAGCUUUCUAGUCUGAGCUUUCUUUUUGGCCGUCUUUAAAAACAUUUU